AAACCAGCACCUCAAGUGGUCAGGAGGAUUAUUGGGCCUAAAGCAUCCGUAGCCUGUUCUAUAAGUUUCCGGUUAAAUCCACUAGCUCAACUAGUGGGCUGCCGAAAAUACUGUAGAACUAGGGAGUGGGAGAGGUAGACGGUAUUCGGUAGGAAGGGGUAAAAUCCUUUGAUCUAUUGAGGACCACCUGUGGCGAAGGCGGUCUACCAGAACACGUUCGACGGUGAGGGAUGAAAGCUUGGGGAGCAAACCGGAUUAGAAACCCGAGUAGUCC
rnacentral:rRNA from 1 species